rnacentral:rRNA from 1 species
AACGAACGCUGGCGGCAUGCCUAACACAUGCAAGUCGAACGAGACCUUCGGGUCUAGUGGCGCACGGGUGCGUAACGCGUGGGAACCUGCCCUUAGGUUCGGAAUAACUCCCCGAAAGGGGUGCUAAUACCGGAUAAUGUCUUCGGACCAAAGAUUUAUCGCCUUUGGAUGGGCCCGCGUUGGAUUAGCUAGUUGGUAGGGUAAAAGCCUACCAAGGCGACGAUCCAUAGCUGGUCUGAGAGGAUGAUCAGCCACACUGGGACUGAGACACGGCCCAGACUCCUACGGGAGGCAGCAGUGGGGAAUAUUGGACAAGGGGCGAAAGCCUGAUACAGCAAUGCCGCGUGAGUGAUGAAGGCCUUAGGGUUGUAAAGCUCUUUUAGCCGGGAUGAUAAUGACAGUACCGGGAGAAUAAGCUCCGGCUAACUCCGUG